rnacentral:lncRNA from 1 species
GUACCCCCAUUCCCGAAAAUGUGUAAUAAAUCUAUCACUUUCAUUUACUUUAUUAUAUCAGUUGAUUGUUAAUUCAAAGAUAAAAAUCAACCUUUUUUUAGAAAAGAACAAUAAAAAACAAAUACUCGAUCCAACGUCGAGAAAUUUUCACACAAAAAAUUAUAACCAUUUUCAUAUCCACUUCUCCGUCAUUUUUAAAACUUUCAAAUCAUGCCAUUCUAUUUCGAUUCAAACGCAAAGAAUAAAAACCUCGAUCCAACAUCGAGUGUCUUUUCCCAAAUCAAAUCCAAAAUACUUAAUCACAAUUAAAC